UUGUUCGGAAUUACUGGGCGUAAAGGGUGCGUAGGCGGCUUUCUAAGUUGGAUGUGAAAACUAUGGGCUCAACCCAUAGCCUGCAUCCAAAACUGGAGAGCUUGGGUUCUGGAGGGGAAAGCGGAAUUCCUGGUGUAGCGGUGAAAUGCGUAGAUAUCGGAAGGAACAUCAGUGGCGAAAGCGACUUCCUGGACCAAUACUGACGCUCAUGUGCGAAAGCGUGGGGAGCAAACAGG
rnacentral:rRNA from 1 species